CAUACCUCUGUAUAUACAUGCAUGUCUUUAUACCUGUAAUGUGACUAACAGUCAGUACCAGUGCUAAAGAUUUAAUAGUGAUCAGUGCCAUUUCUAGAUCUACAACUAUCUUUAAGAGUUGGAGGACAGGACAAUUUCUUCCACUGCGACAAUUGUGGGUUCUGCCUCUCUCUGACCAUGAAGGACAGGCACACCUGUCGACGUCAGAUGUCCAAAGACAACUGUCCAGUUUGCAUGGAGGAUAUCCACACUUCCAGGACAGCUGCACACGUACCUAACUGUGGACAUCUUAUUUGAAGAGUAUCACAUGCACCCUUUCAUUGAUGGUCCUGUAGUCAGUCAACUCAAAGCUCAAAGUAGCAAGUAUAGAUGAUUCCGUUUUGUUAGCUUUUGAGUGAGCACUGGCCAAUGCAUGCACUUCUUGUCCAUUCAUAAUUAUCUAAAGCCCAUGCAUUUCCUAAUUAAGUUAUGCCAAUUAAGUUACCCUAACCUUACAAUAACGAAUACUUACACGUAUGUACACAACAUUAAUAUAGCAACAUUGAUUAGUAAUUGAAUAGUAAUUAUGUGCACAAUAUUUAGCCGUUGUAUUGGCAAUUCUUACAACAUGCACACAUAGUGAAUAUAUAUAUAGAUCUAACA